rnacentral:rRNA from 1 species
GGAAAGAACUAACUAGGAUUCCCUUAGUAGCUGCGAGCGAACCGGGAGAAGCCCAGCACCGAAUCUCACGGUCGACUUUGCGGACGUGUAGAAAUGUGGUGUUAGGGAGGACCGUUUUAUCUCGAAGUGUUAUGGUGUGUCCAAGUCCUUCUUGAACGGGGCCACAGCCCAUAGAGGGUGCCAGGCCUGUAGUGACUGCCAUUCACGUGUGAGAUGGUCUCUCCUCAGAGUCGGGUUGCUUGAGAGUGCAGCCCUAAGUGGGUGGUAAACUCCAUCUAAGGCUAAAUAUAACCACGAGACCGAUAGCGAACAAGUACCGUGAGGGAAAGUUGAAAAGCACUUUGAAGAGAGAGUUCAAGAGUACGUGAAACCGUUUAGGGGUAAACCUGAGAAACCCGAAAGGUCGAAUGGGGAAAUUCAAUCGCAUUUCGGCACUGUAUGACAGAAUUGGAGAUUGGUUGUGGGAGCGCAUCGUACAAUUUUGUCUCGUACAAAAUUAUCAUAGCGCCCUUUCCGCUUCAAUUAAACUGUCUCCGAACGCGUGCACUUUUCCCCUAGUAGGACGUUGUGACCCGUUGAGCGUCGGUCUAAGACUUGUGCGGUGGAGCCCGUAGAAUCAACCGUAAGGUUGUUAAACUUUUACGGACCCGUCUUGUUUUCUGGCCGACAUGCCCGACGGUCGUAUAUUUAAAGGCGCGGGGCCGCUAUCGAUCACUGCUCUUAUGAAGUAGUGAAAGUAUAAUUAGCAUCCUAGCAGCAGCAAGCGCAUCCGGUGUAUCAAUAAUAGGAUCUAAUGCCGUUACUGUACCCGUGGUGAUUGUUUGUUGUUGUUUAAUAGGAUAGACCCCGAUAAUUGAAACGCCGCUUCCACGACGAUAUAGCUUUGGGUA